rnacentral:rRNA from 1 species
UACAGAGGUCCCAAGCGUUGUUCGGAUUUACUGGGCGUAAAGGGCGCGUAGGCGGCCACCGCAAGUCAAUUGUGAAAUCUCCGGGCUUAACUCGGAAAGGUCAACUGAUACUGCGGGGCUAGAGUGCGGAAGGGGCAACUGGAAUUCUCGGUGUAGCGGUGAAAUGCGUAGAUAUCGAGAGGAACACCUGCGGCGAAGGCGGGUUGCUGGGCCGACACUGACGCUGAGGCGCGAAAGCCAGGGGAGCGAACAGG